AGCCCCGUGGUGUAGUGGUCAAGCAUGGCGGCCUUUGGAGCCGCCGACCCCGGUUCGAAUCCGGGCGGGGCUACCA
rnacentral:tRNA from 1 species